rnacentral:sRNA from 9 species
CGAUGGGGUCGUGCUUGGGGUCUGGUGGCCGUGGCCGUGAUCCAGGGGUUCCCCUCGUGAUCCGUGGGUGGGCCCCGUCUCCGGGCG